AAGUCGUAACAAGGUGACCCUGCGGAAGGAUCAUUAACACGUAUCCAGAUCGAAAAGCGUUAUCCUUACACAACCAAUGACACUUCCAGACUGGGGAAACCAGGCCACUUGCAACGAUCGCUCGAUCUUCGCCUACCAAACUGAGGUCCCUGAAUCAAAAUCUGUUCAACAAUGAUUUACCAGGGAUUGCAAUUCCGGCGGGCUAGGAAGUAUAAAAGUUCACAGGGGCACUAGAGGCCGAACACCGGCCGGUGACCAGGUCGCCGUGGCUUCGGCCCCCUAUAACCCCACUACCUGAACUCGCCUCGUAGGAAACUGCUGGGGAACAAAACGAACAACUGUUAACAAUGGAUAUCUUGGUUCUG
rnacentral:misc_RNA from 1 species